CAAAAUUGAAAAUUAAAACUAAAAACUGAAAACACUUUCAAGUUAUUUUAUAUAAAAAAGGUGAUUUUGAAAACUGAAAAUGAAAUCUGUUACCAAACAUGUUUUCAGUUUUCAGCUUUCAGUUUUCAAAAAGGUUAAAAUGAAAAUUGAAAACUAAAAAUGAAAUGGUUAUCAAACAAUCCCUAAUUUAUUAAUUAUAAAAUUG
rnacentral:lncRNA from 1 species